GAUGAACGCUAGCUACAGGCUUAACACAUGCAAGUCGAGGGGAAACGAUGAGAGAGCUUGCUCUCUUAGGCGUCGACCGGCGCACGGGUGAGUAACGCGUAUCCAACCUACCCAUUACAGGGGGAUAACCUUGCGAAAGUAAGACUAAUACCCCAUGGCAUUUUAUGGUGGCAUCAUUAUAGGAUUAAAGAUUUAUGGGUAAUGGAGGGGGAUGCGUCUGAUUAGCUUGUUGGCGGGGUAACGGCCCACCAAGGCAACGAUCAGUAGGGGUUCUGAGAGGAAGGUCCCCCACAUUGGAACUGAGACACGGUCCAAACUCCUACGGGAGGCAGCAGUGAGGAAUAUUGGUCAAUGGGCGAGAGCUUGAACCAGCCAAGUAGCGUGCAGGAUGACGGCCCUAUGGGUUGUAAACUGCUUUUAUAGGGGAAUAAAGUGAGCUACGUGUAGUUUAUUGCAUGUACCCUAUGAAUAAGGACCGGCUAAUUCCGUG
rnacentral:rRNA from 1 species